AACGAUGGAUACUAAGUGUCGGCGGGUUACCGCCGGUGCCGCAGCUAACCCUUUAAGUAUCCCGCCUGGGAAGUACGGCCGCAAGGUUGAAACUCAAAGGAAUUGACGGGGGCCCGCACAAGCGGUGGAGCAUGUGGUUUAAUUCGACGCAACGCGAAGAACCUUACCUAGGCUGGACAUGCACGUAGUAGGAGGGUGAAAGCCCAACGAGGUAGCAAUACCAGCGUGCUCAGGUGCUGCAUGGCUGUCGUCAGCUCGUG
rnacentral:rRNA from 1 species